UACAAUGACAAAAGCAAAGCUUCUUAGUGAUAAUUAAGGGAUAUAUUUGAGUUAUCCUUCAAAAACAAUUUGUGGGGAGGGGGAAGAGAGGUUGUUAAAACUUCAUUAAAUGAAUAGAUGUAAGAAGAAAAGAAGAAGUUCCAGAAAGUUACAGGCUGAUUGUCUAUUUCUAAGUUGAGUGUCUCCACAAGAGGCGAGGCUCGCAAAAGGCCAGCUGCCCCAUACAAACUAAACUUUUCCAAAUGCAACUCCAGCACUAGAUGUUUGCAUUCCAAUUCUGGAAUUGGCACUCCUUUGAACUGCAAUAUGCAUAGGACCUGGUGCAAUAAUUCCAAUGAAACUAGUAAACAAUGGGGAAAGCAAUAAAGAAAGCACUUCACAGCAAAGAAAU